rnacentral:rRNA from 1 species
GAAAGUCAGACCUGCCCGGUGAAUUUAUUUAAACGGCCGCGGUAUUCUGACCGUGCAAAGGUAGCAUAAUCAGUUGUCUUAUAAUUGAAGACUGGAAUGAAUGGUUAAACGAAAUUAAAGCUGUUUCAUUUGUAUUUAUUAGAAAUUAGCUUUUAAAUGAAGAGAUUUAAAUUUGAUUAAGGGACAAGAAGACCCUAUUGAGCUUUAAAUAAUUUAAAGGGUUAAAGUUAUUAUAAAGAUCUAUGGUCUUUAGUAUUUUUUUAGUUGGGGCGACUAAGGAACAGAUGAAGCUUCCUUUAUUUAUUUGAUUGAUAGAUUUUUGAUCCAGGGUUGCUGAUUAAGGGAGAUAGUUACCAUAGGGAUAACAGCAUAAUCUUCUUGGAGAGUUCUUAUUAAAAAGGGGGGUUGUGACCUCGAUGUUGGACUAAAAUAUCCUAAUGGUGUAGAAGCUUUUGAGGGUUGGUCUGUUCG